GUGCGGACCGUGUCAACCGGACGCGACGGGGAUGGUGAACAUGGCGAUUUUUCCGGUUUCCCGCCAUGGCUAACGAAAUGGCAGACGAGCACCCAACCUGUCCGGCCC
rnacentral:sRNA from 1 species